UACGUAGGGUGCAAGCGUUAAUCGGAAUUAUUGGGCGUAAAGGGCGCGUAGGCGGCCUUGCAAGUGGCGGGUGAAAUCCCUCGGCUUAACCGAGGAACUGCCUGCCAGACUGCAAGGCUCGAGACCGGGAGAGGUGAGUGGAAUUCCCAGUGUAGCGGUGAAAUGCGUAGAUAUUGGGAGGAACACCAGUGGCGAAGGCGGCUCACUGGACCGGAACUGACGCUGAGGCGCGAAAGCGUGGGGAGCAAACAGG
rnacentral:rRNA from 1 species